rnacentral:lncRNA from 1 species
CCAAGCAGCAGGAGAAUCAAAUGAUCAGAUUAAAGAGAAUCAAUUACCCCAACCACCAGAGAUAACUGGAGCGAGACCCAUUAAGAAUAUACAAUUCAAAUUCAAUCAGUACAACACUGGAGAUACAAAGUUGCGGACCCAGUUUGACAAAUUGUGAGGCUAGCUAAGAAAUGCAUUCUUGUUCCAGACUGCAACUUCAAAAUUCUAAGAAUGAAGUUAUCCAAAUUUCAGAAAAAGGAAAAAAAAGUAUGAUAGGGGUUACGAAAUGACCAACACAAGCCAAUAUAUUAACUCCUUGUGAAGUAUGUGCUGCAAGACAUUAGUUUCAUUUAAUGUGCAAUAGCUUCUAACCCACAAAAGAUGGAAGGGAAACCAAAUUAUGACUAUGCAGUACAGUUCUCAUUCACCUUAUUACUGGCUUCAUUGAAGUAUCAUUUAAAUUGGUCAGAAAAGGUUACAUAAACAACAGAAAAGACUGGCUCCAGAAAAUAAACAACAAAACUAUGCAAAAGGUACCAUAGAAGACCAAGAGAUGAAACCUUUUCUAGUUAUGGUAGGAAAUAAUUGAUUUAAAGAAUCUAUAAGGACAAGGAGAGUGGAGCUUGUUAUAAUUUUGCAUUCUAUGUAAGUAGGAUCAGAACCAACUUUGUAAAACAGACCGCCGCUGACCAAGUGAACAAGAACUUGUGAGUAGAUGGUCCCUGAAAUCCUAACGGAAAUCAGAGGUUCCUCAACAGCGUAGAAGGUCCCUGAAAUCCUAAUGGAAAUCAGAGUUUGGUCAACAGAAAGUCUUUUCAUAGAAAAUGGAACACAAACACUACUAUUUGAAAAUGUACAUUUGGCAAAUAAAUUUAUUGAUGAGAACAUUGAAAGGCCUAAUUCUACAAAAGAAUAAUAAUGACAGAGAAAAGUCAAAG